rnacentral:lncRNA from 1 species
GUGAAGAUGUCUUUUUUUCCACAGCUCAACAUUUAGCUUUGGUGGAGAAGAAAUGUCCAGGGAUCUUCACUUGAGAGUGCUGAGUACAUCAUUCGGUUCCAUGGAGGAAAGAUGAGCUUCCAGUUUCAGGACAGCCAGAUGUUCUUUACCCUGUGUACUCAUAACCAUCACUCUUCGUCCCGGGAAAGUGAAAAGGGAACAUCAGGAUCCACUGCCAAGGGCGCUCCACCAGGACCCAGAAGCCUGGGAAUUCUACCCUGGGGAAAGAAAGCAGGAGUUGGCCAGCCAGAUUCACCUCCCACCACGGGAGGCUGUUUUUAAUUGUUCUUUGAAGAGUCUUUCCAAGUUGUUUAAAAUCUUGUCCGCCCACUCGGGCAGGUUCUGCUGGGCUCCCAGAGCAGCCAUGGUUUCUUCCCUGCUCUCCAUCACAGGCGCUGCAACUUUGGGCAGAAUUCCCAUUUUCCACUCUGUCUUCCAGGGAUGGUACCCCACCGACGGCUGACAUGACUCUGCCAUGGUGACAGCAGAGAUCUUUUCCGUGACAAGUUUUGAGCGAUUCACUUAGCAUUUUCAACAUAUCACUGGUGAAUUUGUGUAAAUGACUUAUUUUCCCCCCCUUUUUUAAAAUCAGUAAUAAGCAUAUUUUUAACAGCUUUUGAGGAAGUGUGUCGAUUUACGUUGGUGAAAUUUCAACCCAAGGAGCCAUUCUGACACAAAAUGAUGACUGGCCAGUGAAGCUAUUGUUUCUCACCCCAAUCAAUCAAAAGCUAGAACUGGCAUCUAGCACUGUGGUAUGGACUCAUCAUCCAUUGGUUCAUUCAAUCCCACAUCCCACAGCAGUCAGUCCUGUGAUACCUUUGCUUAUUCCCAUUUUUCAGAUGGAGAAACUGAGGUUCACAUACAUAGAAAUUGAUAGGGCUGGGAUAUGUCUCUCCAAAUCCAACUCCCAUAGUCUUUUACCAUUAUGCUCUGUGUUUACCCAGAAUUCUAGAGUAGAACAUAGGAUCAUCACC